rnacentral:rRNA from 1 species
AGGCAAAUCCGGAAAACUAAGGCUGAGGCGUGAUGACGAGGCACUACGGUGCUGAAGCAACAAAUGCCCUGCUUCCAGGAAAAGCCUCUAAGCAUCAGGUAACAUCAAAUCGUACCCCAAACCGACACAGGUGGUCAGGUAGAGAAUACCAAGGCGCUUGAGAGAACUCGGGUGAAGGAACUAGGCAAAAUGGUGCCGUAACUUCGGGAGAAGGCACGCUGAUAUGUAGGUGAAGUCCCUCGCGGAUGGAGCUGAAAUCAGUCGAAGAUACCAGCUGGCUGCAACUGUUUAUUAAAAACACAGCACUGUGCAAACACGAAAGUGGACGUAUACGGUGUGACGCCUGCCCGGUGCCGGAAGGUUAAUUGAUGGGGUCAGCGCAAGCGAAGCUCUUGAUCGAAGCCCCGGUAAACGGCGGCCGUAACUAUAACGGUCCUAAGGUAGCGAAAUUCCUUGUCGGGUAAGUUCCGACCUGCACGAAUGGCGUAAUGAUGGCCAGGCUGUCUCCACCCGAGACUCAGUGAAAUUGAACUCGCUGUGAAGAUGCAGUGUACCCGCGGCAAGACGGAAAGACCCCGUGAACCUUUACUAUAGCUUGACACUGAACAUUGAGCCUUGAUGUGUAGGAUAGGUGGGAGGCUUUGAAGUGUGGACGCCAGUCUGCAUGGAGCCGACCUUGAAAUACCACCCUUUAAUGUUUGAUGUUCUAACGUUGACCCGUAAUCCGGGUUGCGGACAGUGUCUGGUGGGUAGUUUGACUGGGGCGGUCUCCUCCUAAAGAGUAACGGAGGAGCACGAAGGUUGGCUAAUCCUGGUCGGACAUCAGGAGGUUAGUGCAAUGGCAUAAGCCAGCUUGACUGCGAGCGUGACGGCGCGAGCAGGUGCGAAAGCAGGUCAUAGUGAUCCGGUGGUUCUGAAUGGAAGGGCCAUCGCUCAACGGAUAAAAGGUACUCCGGGGAUAACAGGCUGAUACCGCCCAAGAGUUCAUAUCGACGGCGGUGUUUGGCACCUCGAUGUCGGCUCAUCACAUCCUGGGGCUGAAGUAGGUCCCAAGGGUAUGGCUGUUCGCCAUUUAAAGUGGUACGCGAGCUGGGUUUAGAACGUCGUGAGACAGUUCGGUCCCUAUCUGCCGUGGGCGCUGGAGAACUGAGGGGGGCUGCUCCUAGUACGAGAGGACCGGAGUGGACGCAUCACUGGUGUUCGGGUUGUCAUGCCAAUGGCACUGCCCGGUAGCUAAAUGCGGAAGAGAUAAGUGCUGAAAGCAUCUAAGCACGAAACUUGCCCCGAGAUGAGUUCUCCCUGACUCCUUGAGAGUCCUGAAGGAACGUUGAAGACGACGACGUUGAUAGGCCGGGUGUGUAAGCGCAGCGAUGCGUUGAGCUAACCGGUACUAAUGAACCGUGAGGCUUAACCUU